rnacentral:lncRNA from 1 species
UGACGCUGCUAUUGAAAAAGGCCAGCCAGUGAGCAAAGGGAUAGAUAUAAAUGUGGAUGAUCUGCAACUGGACGUCUGAAAGCAUGACGGCAGAAGGACACAUGGUUGCGAUGGCCAGAAUCCAGAUGACGGCUAUGAUGAUGACUGCAGUUGAAAUGGUCAUCUUCUGCUUGAACGGAUGAACAAUGCAGCGAAACCUGCAGCAAAGAUACCCGGCGACAUACGUAGAGAAGCUGUUUAAGGAACGCUUACUCAAACAGGCAAGCCGUCCACCGAGUCUUCCUGAACAAAUAACCCUGUACUGGGAGAAUCCCUGCUUCAAGACGGGCAGUGUGGAGGUCAGCAAGGACAGCCCCAGGCAGAAGGUGGGUUAGGGGCUUGUCUUCCUCGCCUCUGGCUGCCAGUGACUUGAAAUAACUCCAGAGCCCCCUCAGAAACCACAGUGUGCAGAACAAUAAAGCAAACUACUCCAUUGCCAACCAUGCAGAGCAGGAAGAUGAGGAGAUAGGAGACGAUGAAGACAGC